CGUAGGGGAAGUAAAAUUCGAAACACGCAUCUUGGUGGGAUACUUAUAAGACGCGGCGGGCAGCGUUACGGAACUUGGCAUCGUUUGCUCAGUGCCAAGAUUAUGAAGAAUUUGAGACACAAUUAUCCACUGUCUCCAAGUCACAAAAGUGAGAUCUGGGGGAACACAAAGCCAACAUCGAACCAAGGCCAUAGAGCGUGGG